rnacentral:rRNA from 1 species
UACAGAGGGGGCAAGCGUUGUUCGGAAUUACUGGGCGUAAAGGGCGCGUAGGCGGCCUGCUAAGUCGAACGUGAAAUCCCCGAGCUCAACUCGGGAACUGCGUCCGAUACUGGCAGGCUUGAAUCCGGGAGAGGGAUGCGGAAUUCCAGGUGUAGCGGUGAAAUGCGUAGAUAUCUGGAGGAACACCGGUGGCGAAGGCGGCCUUCUGGACAGUGACUGACGCUGAGACGCGAAAGCGUGGGGAGCAAACAGG